rnacentral:sRNA from 1 species
AGGAGAUGUGGCUGCUGCUGGCCCUGUUGGGGGUCCUGCUGAGUGUGCCUGGGCCUCCAGUCUUGUCCCUGGAGGCCUCUGAGGAAGUGGAGCUGGAGCCCUGCCUGGCUCCCAGCCUGGAGCAGCAAGAGCAGGAGCUGACAGUAGCCCUUGGGCAGCCUGUGCGGCUGUGCUGUGGGCGGGCUGAGCGUGGUGGCCACUGGUACAAGGAGGGCAGUCGCCUGGCACCUGCCGGCCGUGUACGGGGCUGGAGGGGCCGCCUAGAGAUUGCCAGCUUCCUAUCUGAGGAUGCUGGCCGCUACCUCUGCCUGGCACGAGGCUCCAUGAUCGUCCUGCAGAAUCUCACCUUGAUUAUAGAUGACUCCUUGACCUCCAGCAACGAUGAUAAGGACCCCAAGUCCCAUAUGGACUCCUCGAAUAGGCACAUUUACCCCCAGCAAGGUCAGUAAGUCUCCAAGGACUUGUGCCCCCGCUGCUCAUCUGAUCACUGAGAAGAGGAGGCCUGUGUGGGAACACACGGUCAUUCUAGGGGCCUUCCCCACCCUCCAGCACCUUACUGGACACACCCCCAGCGCAUGGAGAAGAAACUGCAUGCAGUACCUGCGGGGAACACCGUCAAGUUCCGCUGUCCAGCUGCAGGCAACCCCAUGCCCACCAUCCGCUGGCUUAAGGAUGGACAGGCCUUUCAUGGGGAGAACCGCAUUGGAG